rnacentral:rRNA from 1 species
GACGAACGCUGGCGGCGUGCUUAACACAUGCAAGUCGAACGGAAAGGCCCUGCUUGCGUGGGGUGAUCGGGUGGCGAAGGGGUGGGUAAGACGUGAGUAACCUGCCCUUGACUUUGGGAUAACUUCAGGAAAGGGGGGCUAAUACAGGAUAGGAGCUCCUGCUGCAUGGUGGGGGGUGGAAAUUUGCGGCGGGUGGGGAUGGAUGCGCGGCUGAUCAGCUUGUUGGUGGGGGAGUGGCUUGCCAAGGCUGUGAAGGGUAGCCGGCAUGAGAGGGUGACCGGGCACAAGGGGACUGCGGUACGGACCAGACUGCAACGGGGGGCAGCAGUGGGGAAUAUUGCACAAUGGGCGGAAGCCUGAUGCAGAGACGCCGCGUGUGGGAUGACGGCUUUCGGGUUGUAAACCGCAUCCGCCUGUGACGCAGCGUUAGUGACGGUAAUGAGUAAAGAAGCACCGGCUAACUACGUG